GUCGAUGUUGGAAAGGAGCCAAGUGUUGUAACCAGUCGCCGUGUGCAGCAUGUGCUAAAAGGAGUUGUUGCAGUCCAGAAGACGUGAUUGGUGUGUGAUAAUCCAGAGGGACAUUAACGCUCGACUGAAUGUUGGAAAUGAGAGGCAGUAAAGGUGUUUGAGGAUGGAGUGGUGGUGGGUAGUGCCGUAACCAGGUUGGACUACUACAUGU